GUAACAAGGUUUCCGUAGGUGAACCUGCGGAAGGGAUCAUUACUGAGUGAGGGCCCUCUGGGUCCAACCUCCCACCCGUGUUUAUUUACCUUGUUGCUUCGGCGGGCCCGCCUUAACUGGCCGCCGGGGGGCUUACGCCCCCGGGCCCGCGCCCGCCGAAGACACCCUCGAACUCUGUCUGAAGAUUGUAGUCUGAGUGAAAAUAUAAAUUAUUUAAAACUUUCAACAACGGAUCUCUUGGUUCCGGCAUCGAUGAAGAACGCAGCGAAAUGCGAUACGUAAUGUGAAUUGCAAAUUCAGUGAAUCAUCGAGUCUUUGAACGCACAUUGCGCCCCCUGGUAUUCCGGGGGGCAUGCCUGUCCGAGCGUCAUUGCUGCCCUCAAGCACGGCUUGUGUGUUGGGCCCCGUCCUCCGAUUCCGGGGGACGGGCCCGAAAGGCAGCGGCGGCACCGCGUCCGGUCCUCGAGCGUAUGGGGCUUUGUCACCCGCUCUGUAGGCCCGGCCGGCGCUUGCCGAUCAACCCAAAUUUUUAUCCAGGUUGACCUCGGAUCAGGUAGGGAUACCCGCUGAACCUAAGCAUAUCA
rnacentral:misc_RNA from 1 species